CCUACGGGAGGCAGCAGUGAGGAAUAUUGGUCAAUGGCCGGAAGGCUGAACCAGCCAUGCCGCGUGAAGGACGACGGUGCUAAGCAUUGUAAACUUCUUUUGUCAAGGGACAAACUCAGGCACGAGUGCCUGCCUGAGGGUACUUGACGAAUAAGCAUCGGCUAACUCCGUGCCAGCAGCCGCGGUAAUACGGAGGAUUCGAGCGUUAUCCGGAUUUAUUGGGUUUAAAGGGUGCGUAGGCGGACUGUUAAGUUAGCGGUGAAAUCCCGGGGCUCAAACCCGGCGGUGCCGCUGAUACUGGUGGUCUAGAGAGGUGGAGAGGUAGGCGGAAUGUACGGUGUAGCGGUGAAAUGCUUAGAGAU
rnacentral:rRNA from 1 species